UACGGAGGGUGCGAGCGUUGUCCGGAAUCACUGGGCGUAAAGGGCGCGUAGGCGGUGGGAUAAGCGUGUGGUGAAAGCCCGGGGCUCAACUCCGGGUCUGCCGUGCGAACUGUUCCACUCGAGCACUGUAGAGGCAGGUGGAAUUCCGGGUGUAGCGGUGGAAUGCGUAGAGAUCCGGAAGAACACCGGUGGCGAAGGCGGCCUGCUGGGCAGUGGCUGACGCUGAGGCGCGACAGCGUGGGGAGCAAACAGG
rnacentral:rRNA from 1 species